GGCAGCUCAAGGAAUGCAUGAGAAAUGAUGUUACGAAAUCAUCACUUACUUUCCCCAUUGUGAAGCGGUUGCAUUGCUUUUGAAAGCUCCCGCAAUUGAUCCAUGUUGUGAAGGUAGCUUAGUAAGAGAAAAUGUAUUUAUGUAUCCACCAAAUUGUAGAUCGAUGAAGGAUUGAUGAUCAUGUAUAGUUAGGUUUGUCCGAGAGAUUUCUGCCGCACUCUCUCUCUCUCUCUCUCUCUCUC
rnacentral:misc_RNA from 1 species